GAGGGUAUAGCUCAAUGGUAGAGUGCAUGCCUAGCAUGCACGAGGUCCCAGGUUCCACCCCAGUACCUCCA
rnacentral:tRNA from 1 species